rnacentral:rRNA from 1 species
CACGUAGGGUGCGAGCGUUGUCCGGAAUUAUUGGGCGUAAAGAGCUCGUAGGCGGUUUGUCGCGUCUGGUGUGAAAAUCCAGGGCUUAACCCUGGACCUGCAUCGGGUACGGGCAGACUAGAGUGCGGUAGGGGAGAUCGGAAUUCCUGGUGUAGCGGUGAAAUGCGCAGAUAUCAGGAGGAACACCGGUGGCGAAGGCGGAUCUCUGGGCCGUAACUGACGCUGAGGAGCGAAAGCAUGGGGAGCGAACAGG